AGUGAACGCUGGCGGUAGGCCUAACACAUGCAAGUCGAACGGCAGCACAGGAGAGCUUGCUCUCUGGGUGGCGAGUGGCGGACGGGUGAGGAAUACAUCGGAAUCUACUCUGUCGUGGGGGAUAACGUAGGGAAACUUACGCUAAUACCGCAUACGACCUACGGGUGAAAGCAGGGGAUCUUCGGACCUUGCGCGAUUGAAUGAGCCGAUGUCGGAUUAGCUAGUUGGCGGGGUAAAGGCCCACCAAGGCGACGAUCCGUAGCUGGUCUGAGAGGAUGAUCAGCCACACUGGAACUGAGACACGGUCCAGACUCCUACGGGAGGCAGCAGUGGGGAAUAUUGGACAAUGGGCGCAGGCCUGAUCCAGCCAUACCGCGUGGGUGAAGAAGGCCUUCGGGUUGUAAAGCCCUUUUGUUGGGAGAGAAAUCCAGCUGGCUAAUACCCGGUUGGGAUGACGGUACCCAAAGAAUAAGCACCGGCUAACUUCGUGCCAGCAGCCGCCGUAA
rnacentral:rRNA from 1 species